GAUAGGGAACCUUGCCCACAUGAGAGAGAGAGAGAGGAUGCAGGCAUUGUUGAAGUGUGUCAUGUUUAUGGCGGCUCUAGGCUUGAUUUUAAAUGCUUCUCUCAUGCCUACAGUGGAAUCAAGGCUUAUUUAUCAAACAUCCCCUCGGAUGGGAAAUGGAAUUUAUGAAGACUUUGGAAAUUUUGGAGCUGCCAUCCUUCAAAAGAGUCCUCAACCAAACCCGAACCAUAGUCCUCAACCAAACCCGAACCAUAUUCCUCGCAACCGCCCAUCUACUCCUCCAUCUCCUUAAGCCUUCUCCUCACCCAAAUCAUCUGAUGCUCCAUUUGGUGACGAAGCAAUAAAUUUUUAUUUUUGUCUACCUAUUAUUCCUAAUAUCUCUAUGGCAUGCGAUUAUUAUUUAUUCUAGUUGUUUUUGUUUUUAGGUUUAGGAGAAUAACCCUCUUUUCAAUU